UGCUUGCACCUGAUUGACGAUGGAUCACCAGUGAGUGGCGGACGGGUGAGUAACACGUAGGUAACCUGCCCCAGAGCGGGGGAUAACAUUUGGAAACAGAUGCUAAUACCGCAUAACAACAAAAGCCACAUGGCUUUUGUUUGAAAGAUGGCUUUGGCUAUCACUCUGGGAUGGACCUGCGGUGCAUUAGCUAGUUGGUAAGGUAACGGCUUACCAAGGCGAUGAUGCAUAGCCGAGUUGAGAGACUGAUCGGCCACAAUGGAACUGAGACACGGUCCAUACUCCUACGGGAGGCAGCAGUAGGGAAUCUUCCACAAUGGGCGCAAGCCUGAUGGAGCAACACCGCGUGAGUGAAGAAGGGUUUCGGCUCGUAAAGCUCUGUUGUUGGAGAAGAACGUGCGUGAGAGUAACUGUUCACGCAGUGACGGUAUCCAACCAGAAAGUCACGGCUAACUACGUGCCAGCAGCCGCGGUAAUACGUAGGUGGCAAGCGUUAUCCGGAUUUAUUGGGCGUAAAGCGAGCGCAGGCGGUUGCUUAGGUCUGAUGUGAAAGCCUUCGGCUUAACCGAAGAAGUGCAUCGGAAACCGGGCGACUUGAGUGCAGAAGAGGACAGUGGAACUCCAUGUGUAGCGGUGGAAUGCGUAGAUAUAUGGAAGAACACCAGUGGCGAAGGCGGCUGUCUGGUCUGCAACUGACGCUGAGGCUCGAAA
rnacentral:rRNA from 1 species